rnacentral:rRNA from 1 species
AUACGGAGGGUGCAAGCGUUAUUCGGAAUCACUGGGCGUAAAGGACGCGUAGGCGGGUUGGCAAGUCAGAUGUGAAAUCCUACAGCUUAACUGUAGAACUGCAUUUGAAACUGCUAACCUAGAGUAUGGGAGGGGGAGAUGGAAUUAGUGGUGUAGGGGUAAAAUCCGUAGAUAUCACUAGGAAUACCGAAAGCGGAGGCGAUCUCCUGGAACAUAACUGACGCUAAGGCGUGAAAGCGUGGGGAGCAAACAGGAUUAGAAACCCCUGUAGUCC